rnacentral:rRNA from 1 species
UACGGAGGGAGCAAGCGUUACUCGGAAUUAUUGGGCGUAAAGAGCUCGUAGGCGGCUUGUUGCGUCGGUUGUGAAAGCCCGGGGCUUAACCCCGGGUCUGCAGUCGAUACGGGCAGGCUAGAGUGUGGUAGGGGAGAUCGGAAUUCCUGGUGUAGCGGUGAAAUGCGCAGAUAUCAGGAGGAACACCGGUGGCGAAGGCGGAUCUCUGGGCCAUUACUGACGCUGAGGAGCGAAAGCGUGGGGAGCGAACAGG